ensembl:lncRNA
GGAACAUCAUCUGCUAUCUAGUCGGCGACACAGAUUAAAAUUACAAAAUGGAAGAAGGAAGAACUAGCCUGAAGAAAAGAAAGAGAGUCACGGAUGAGAAAGAUGACAAGAACCUCUGGCGUGUAAAAUGUGGAGACAAAAAGGGUUGGAUGGAUGUAGAGAAGUUGGGAAAAGGUAAGGAUUGUAUUGAGUUUGAAGGCUCCUUUUACAGUCCACCUGAGUUUGAGAAGCUUGCAGGAAAAGAUUCAUGUAGAAAAUGGAAGUCAUCUAUUUACCACAAGAAAGCUCCUCUGCACUAUUGGUUCAAGAGAGGUUACCUAACCACUACAGGAUAUAGACAAAAAAAAAGAAAACGACAAUCAUCAGACCUUGAGUCCCAGGACCUCUUAACAGUCCUGUUCAAUAAAUACUCACCUGCAUCAGAGCUGCUGCAUUUUGGGUCCCAUCUUCAACUCCACACGUCCGCCACCCCGGACACGACAGAAAAUGAGGAUGGAGAAGAGGAUGAUGAGGAUAUGGAUGAAGAUGAUGUAUGGGCAGAUAAAUGGGAAGAUAAAGAAGCUACACAGAUUUCUAUCUCUUCUUCUGAAGAAGAGAGUGCGGAAGAUCAUGUUAAAGAUAUAGAUGACGAUGGAGAAGAGGAAGAUGAGGAUAUAGAUGCAGUUGAUGUCAGUAACGAUGAGCCUAGCACUGAGGAAGAUGAGGAUGAAGAAGAUGAUAAUGAUGAGGAUGAGACUGUGCCUGCUGUUGCCUCUAACCAUACUGGCAGCAGUGGUAUCAAAGCAAGUGUAACACCUAUGAUGAAAGAAGUAAAGGGUAUUGUUAACAUCCCUCCUGAGAAGAGUACACAUCAUCCUGACAUGCCAAGAUCUGAAGUCAGUGGAAAUAACAGAGAUGUGGCACAAAACACAGCAAUCAAACAGCUGAAUGUUAAGAAACAACCUGAAGAGAAACUGAAGAAGACAACAACAAGCACAAUUUCAAUACCUGGGAAACUUGCCCCGAAGAUUAAAGAAGCUUAUGGUAUCGUUAAUAGCCUUCCUGAGAAGACUAGACAUCAUCCUGACACGACAAGAUCUGAAGUCAGUGGAAAUAACAGAGAUGUGGCAACAAACACAGCAAUCAAACAGCUGAAUGUUAAGAAAGAACCCCAAGAGGAACUGAAACACAAGGAAGAUCGUGUUAAAGAUCAAGAUGAAGAACAAGAAGAUGAGCACAUGGAUGAAGAUGUUGUUGGUGAUGAUGAGCCUAGCACUGAGGAAGAUGAGGAUGAAGAAAGUGAUAAUGAUGAGGAAGAGACUGUGCCUGCUGUUGCCUCUAACCAUACUGGCAGCAAUGGUAUCAAAGACAGAGUAACAAGUGCAAUUCCAACACCUGGAAAACAUGCAUUACAGAUGAAAGAAGUAAAGGGUAUGGUUAACAUCCCUCCUGAGAAGAGUACACAUCAUCCUGACAUGCCAAGAUCUGAAGUCAGUGGAAAUAACAGAGAUGUGUCACAAAACACAGCAAUCAAACAGCUGAAUGUUAAGAAAGAACCUGAAGAGAAACUGAAGAAGACAACAACCAGCACAAUUUCAACACCUGGGAAACCUGCAGUGAAUAUCAAAGAAGUAAAGGGUGUCGUUAAUAGCCUUCCUGAGAAAGCUAGAGAUCAUCCUGACACGACAAGAUCUGAAGUCAAUGGAAAUUCCAGAGAUGUUGCAAAAAACACAGCAAUCAAACAGCAAAAUGUUAAGAAAGAACCCAACAAGGAACUCAAUGACCAUCAACAUACAGAGGUGCACUUCUCUGGCCACAGUGUAACUGAAGUACAAUCCAUGAGACCAGAGAUGAGCUCUACUUGAAAUAAGCCCAAUAUUCCUAAAUGUGACAAAACUGUCUUGUUUUGAGAAAAAAAAUCUGCCAUUAAGUGCGGACAUGUCAGAGGCCCCAUCACCUGGGCCCUCAGCCAGCUCUGGUUUGGAUCUUGAUCAACUGAAGAGGGAAAAAGUAAAAAUGGAACUAAAGGUUUUAAAAUUAAAAGAAUACUAUUAUGCUUUGAAAAUAAAAGAACUUAAAAAAUGAGGAUUAAUGCUUCUGUAAAGCUGACAUUGCAGAGAAUAAAUUAAAUGAUCGCUGUGUUUACAUCCACAAACUGACACACAUUAUCUGGAGGUUUCUUGGGUGGAAUGUUGCUUUUGAGAAAAGCUGCAAAGUCAAGUGUGCUGCAUUUAAGAUAAGAUAAGAUAGAACUUUAUUAAUCCCUCGGGUGGGUUCCUCUGGGAAAUUCGAUUUCCAAAAAGCACAGCACCGACAGAAGUUACAGUUACAGAAUAUUAUAUAUAUAUAUAUAUAUACACACACACACACACACACACAUACACACACAUAUAUAAAUACAGAGACAAAUAUAAAUAAAAUAUACGAAGGGGAUAAAUAGAAUAAAUAGGAAUAAAAAAUAAAAAUACAAGUGAAUUACACAUUUCACGUAUUAAAAAUACAAGUGAAUUUAUAAUUUAUAAUUUAUACACCGUACUUUUUCUUUGCUAUACUCAGGUUUCCUUUAGUAUUGUUGAUUACAGUGUUUUACUUUGUUUCUGUGAUGGAAUAGAUAGAUGGUAUUUUCUUCUGUAAAAUGUGAAUAAACAAUAUUGAUGCUUUUUAUCUGUAAAUUGCGCUAAAUGUUAUGAAACUGUGUUUCCUUUAGACUUUGCCCAAGCUGCAGUAAUCAUUGUAAGACAUAGCCUGUAAACAGCAUCAUGCAAUGUCUUGAACCACUGCUCAUUUCUUUAUAUUUUGCAUAAGGAGCAAGAGAUUUUAGAAAUUUGUAAGACAAAAGCAAUAGAUUAGACAAAAAUAUUUUCAUGGAAAUUUGUUCAACCAUAAUGAGAAAAUACAAAAUGAAAAAAGGAGAGUUUCAGUGCUGUGUGUGUUAUCUUUGGCAUUUUUCUUUUUUUUUUUAUUCAAAACCUAAAUAUAGUUAGGUAUAUAUAGACUAGAUUCAAUUGAUUUAUGUGAAAUAACUAAAGAAGAAAAAGUUAUCAGGCUAUAUUUAAUUAUCCUAUAGGCUCUAAUUCUUAAUUGACAUUCAGGUCCACACUCCAUGCCAGUUGGUGGCAUUAAUGAACCAACUAGCUUUUUGACAACCACGGACAAACACCAAGAAGGUUUUUUUUUUCUUGGGGGAAAAAGGUCAACUUAAAAAAAUCUCUCAUGUCUUUUGAAGAGUAAACUUUAAAAGUAAUUACUGGGUUUUAUCUCACUUAUUUGUGCAGCGAUACAAAUGUUCCAAUAUCUUUUUUUUUUCUUCUUUUUUUGUUGCCUGACCCGUCUGGUUCUUUAGCCAUCAGAAUUAUUGUUUGAAGGCCAAGAAAGAUGCCCAACGGAUUUACUUUACCAAGUGGAUCAUCACAGCCUUGCUAUAUUGGUCCAUUCAAGGGGCAAUCCUCAAGAGUUGGCAGUUCGUCCUGUAAUCGGAAGGUUGCCGGUUCGAGCCCCGGCUCCGACAGUCUCGGUUGUUGUGUCCUUGGGCAAGACACUUCACCCGUUGCCUACUGGUGGUGGUCAGAGGACCCAGUGGCGCCAGUGUCCGGCAGCCUCGCCUCUGUCGCCCCAGGGCAGCUGUGGCUACAAUGUAGCUUGCCAUCACCAGUGUGUGAAUGGGUGGAAGACUGAAUUUAGUGUAAAGCGCUUUGGGGUCCUUAGGGACUAGUAAAAGCACUAUACAAAUACAGGCCACUGACCUUUGUUAUUAUUAUUUAUUUAUUCUAUUUUCAGUUUUUACAGACAGGACAGACAUGACUGGGGGGCAGGAAAGGGAGAAGGAAAGAAAGAGAGGGAGGGAAAGAAAAACAGGGGAAGAGGGACAGUGAGAAAGUGCACUUAAAAAAAUCACCUGGAUCACCUGUCAGGUUCCUCCGCCCGCUGAUAUGUAGUGUUGCUGCAUGCUGUUCUAAAGUGCAUUUAAAACACGGGAGGGCAUGGUGCUUCCUGCCAGAGAGCAGCAGGUGUCAGCACAGCCCUUCCCAAGAAACCUCAAUGUUUACAUGUAUUUAAAAUUGAGAGGUGGGCACCGGCGCCAGAGGUGAGGUUGAAUACACAGACUGUCCUCUGGAUGGCGUAUAAUAUGCCCACCCCCAAGGCCCUACAUGUAUGUGUUAUGAGAGUGUGAGUAAUGUGGAUGUCUAGGUUGUGGAAUAAAAUUGAGGCACAGGUGGCCAGAAGGAGACACAGGGGAAUCCAACACUGGCAUGAUGUGUUUUUUUUUUCUUUCUUUUGCUUGAAUGAUUCAUAGUCAGUUAUAAGUGGCCUAAUAAUCUAAAAAAAUUAAAAGACUUAGAAAGACCUUAAGGAAUCCCAGAGAAAAAAAGACAUGCAACUUUUGCACAGUACUGUGUGGUCAGCUACAGAAGGACUGGACUGAUAAGAGUGAAAUCACGGAGAACAGGCUCAAGGCUAAGAUUUAAAAGAAAAAAAAAGAAAAGAAAAUCUGCCUCCUUAGAACCAAAACAUGAAAAAUGACACGUGACUCAAGAUUUUUGCACAGUACUGCAAUUGUGCACAUUGUACACAUGUGCAAUUUUAAAAUUAACUGUAAUUUUAUUAGGUUCUUAGUACUAUGACUUCACAAUAACAUGUAUAAAUGUCAGUGGCUGUAAUGUGAUAUGGAGAAAUAAAAGAAACAAAAUAAAUUUUGAGAAUAAUUUAUUUUAACUUAAUCAGAACGCAGCUGUUAUUGAUUGUGAGGCUUUAUCUGUCUUUCUAAUGCGCAUGUGAGAUAAACAGACCUUGACAAUGAAGCUAAGGCUGAC